CAAAGCGUCCAUGGCAAUCAAUCGAUAGGUUGUUGGUUCGGGGGCGGGUGAAAAGAGAGACAGGAAUACUUUGCUUCCCCUCCGCUGGGGCAAACCCGAACGAAAAGGGUCUUCGUCAGCCGAGGAGAGAGGUUAAAAAAAGGUUAGGGAGGGGAGGCCGGCGGAGCGCGAGGGGCGACGCGGUGUGGCGCCGGGGACGGAUGCUGUGGGUCACGGUUAUAAAAAGUAACGGGGCGCGUCGCGGGUAGAAAGCCAGGGGAGGGUGCGGUGGGAGGCAGGCCGCGGCUCAUUAUCUCUCCCUUCUUUCCUCCCUCGCAACAUUCCCCGCCGCCGCCCGCCGCCGCCACGGCGACACAAUCACCGGCGCUGCGCCGCCCCACCGGCCUCCUCCUUUGCGCCGCGCCGCGCGGGGCUGGGCUGAGGUGGGCCGCGCCGACACGCUGCCGCUGCAGCGGCACGUGGGGAGCCACCACCACCACCACCACCCUAUGCUCCUUUGCCCGCCUGGUAAGAUUGCACCAGCAGUGAUCUUCGGAGUUUAAAGUGUUCAUCAAAGACAUGGGAAAAGUGGUCUUCGGGGCAUAUCACCUUCAAUGCAAGCUAUUUGUUUCAGAAGAAACUUUUGAUUGGCGUGUUUUAGCUCGUGGGAACACCCAACUCUUCUCUCUGGUGAACUGCACAUAGUAGUUCUAUGCUCAACGACAGCAGGCUGAGGCGAUCCUGAAGCGAUACUCCAGUCUAUGCUCCACAUCUACAUGGUCAACCAUCUUUACUGCAUUCAGUCUCCAUCUGUCACUCCCUAGUUAGUUGCCAUUUGCUUUGCUGUAUACCAUCUGAGGUCAAGGCUCAUCCUUGCUAUAUUCUGGGACUCUACUAUGAUUGCUGUGGGAUCUUUGUGAGGGGACCAAAUCCAAGACAGCACAAGCUAGUGGAGGCCCACUGUUCAAUUGACGGAUCAUACAUCUGUUCGUGCGAACUGAUAGACAAGAUAUUGGUCGCUUAGACUUUGAAACACUUCUCUGUGCUUGUUGUUGAUUUUUCUUGAUACCUGGUUGUCCCAAAGGAAAAGGCUUCUUGAUACCUGGUUGUCCCAAAGGAAAAAGCUUCUAUCACGCAACAAAAUUACCGGAACAAUGGAUAGAUUCAAGUUGAUUAAGGAAGUUGGUGAUGGGACAUUCGGGAGCGUAUGGCGCGCUAUAAAUAAACAAAAUGGUGAAGUUGUGGCUGUUAAGAAAAUGAAAAGAAAAUAUUAUUCUUUCGAGGAAUGUAUGAGUUUACGUGAAGUAAAGUCUUUGCGGCGCAUGAAUCACCCUAACAUAGUGAAGCUCAAGGAGGUCAUAAGGGAAAAUGAUAUAUUAUACUUCAUAAUGGAAUACAUGGAGUGCAAUCUGUACCAACUUAUGAAAGACAGAGUCAAGCCUUUCGCGGAGUCAGAUGUCCGUAAUUGGUGCUUUCAGAUUUUCCAGGCUCUUGCUUAUAUGCACCAGAGGGGAUACUUUCAUCGUGACCUCAAACCAGAGAAUCUGCUGGUCAGCAAAGAUGUCCUAAAGCUAGCAGACUUUGGUCUAGCGAGAGAAAUUUCAUCUGCACCACCAUACACAGAAUAUGUGUCAACACGCUGGUACCGAGCACCUGAAGUAUUGCUCCAGUCAUCUGCUUAUGAUUCUGCAGUUGAUAUGUGGGCAAUGGGUGCCAUAAUGGCCGAGCUGUUGACACUCCAUCCUCUUUUCCCUGGCACAAGUGAAGCGGAUGAGAUUCUCAAGAUUUGCAACGUUAUUGGUUGCCCAGACGAGCAAACAUGGCCCCAGGGAUUGUCUCUUGCAGAGGCGAUGAAGUAUCAGUUCCCACAGAUCAGAGGCAAUCAACUGUCGGAGGUAAUGAAAUCAGCCAGUAGUGAGGCAGUUGACCUUAUAUCCUCUCUGUGCUCAUGGGAUCCUUGCAAGAGACCAAAAGCCGCGGAAGUUCUCCAACAUGCCUUCUUUAAGGAUUGUACUUAUGUUCCAGCUGCUGUCCGGCCAAAAGCUGCAGGUCCCCCUAAAACUCCUCCGGGUGUUGGAGUAAGAGGAGUUUCAGGACACAUUGCUCGGAGAUACUCCACUGGAGCUCUCUCCACAAGCAAACCUGCUGCAAACAUAUCUAUAAAACCGAGCAGCUUAUCUAAGAUCGGUGUGCAAAGAAAACUUCAAUUGGAUCGUCAGGCACCACAGAAGAGUACACGGCCCACUGAGAGUAACACCAAACAAACUACUAGUCGAGUACUGGCAAGGAAUAGCCCAGGGAACGCGAACCCGAUAUUAAGGCAUUCACGCAGUUUACCUGAAACUGGCCGGGCAACGGUUCAGAAGGUUUCGAGUAUCACCGAAAAGCUUGCUCAUAUGUCUGUGACCUCUCGAACACGCACGGCUGUGAAGCCCCCUGUCCCGCUGUUGAAGGCUGGGCAUCUCAAGUCAGACUUCCUCGGGAAAUCUGACGAAAUCCCUCCGGCAAAGAGAUUGACAAGAAAGUUGGUGAGCUAAAGGAGUAUAGAGUGAAGAACCGAUCAGCUGCAGCGAGGCAUGUAAGCUACAGAGCUAAAACCAGGUUUGCCUCGGCGCCAACCGUGUGUUUGGCCUGUUCAUGGUCCUUGCGGUAGUUUCCUCCCCCUGCUUGCUUGGUCCAGGUGCCACGGUAGAGAAUGUGUUGCGAAUGUGCUCGAGCCUGCUGACCUUUCCCUGUACUGGGGUGUGGAUUUGCCCAUGCCCCGAGUUUGUCCCGUGUAUGAACAAAACAUGUGUGGUCUUGGUUUGGUUUGUGAUCUAGUUUUCUCAAUCGUUCAUAUCGCAGACCGUUGUCCUGUUCAUGUGCAAUCUAACAGUCGACAAACCCUCCAAUGAAGAGGAUAAUUUGGCUUCGCUUGUACAGCUUGCGAAAUUUAAUAGAGCACGUUAGUGUAUCCUGCCUGGUCAAAUUUUAAAUUUGUUUGGUAGUCUGUUCGUAUUUUUCGUUGC
rnacentral:rRNA from 1 species